rfam:Oryza barthii chromosome 7, whole genome shotgun sequence.
AUUGGUAAAAUGAAGAAAAAAUACAUGUAUUCUCACUGAUUUUUCAGAAUGAUGUUUACAACCAGCUACUUCUGACCAAC